GGCCUAAUACAUGCAGUCGAACGAGGUUUAGUAGCAAUACUAAACUUAGUGGCGCACGGGUGCGUAACGCGUAUGCAACCUACCUUCAACUGGGGGAUAGCCCCUCGAAAGAGGGAUUAAUACCCCAUAGUAAUUAGAUAAGGCAUCUUAUUUAGUUUAAAGUUCCGGCGGUUGAAGAUGGGCAUGCGUGACAUUAGCUAGUUGGUGAGGUAACUGCUCACCAAGGCUACGAUGUCUAGGGGUUCUGAGAGGAUGAUCCCCCACACUGGUACUGAGACACGGACCAGACUCCUACGGGAGGCAGCAGUAAGGAAUAUUGGUCAAUGGACGCAAGUCUGAACCAGCCAUGCCGCGUGAAGGAUGAAUGCCCUAUGGGUUGUAAACUUCUUUUGUACGGGAAUAAACCCAGGUACGUGUACCUGGCUGAAUGUACCGUAAGAAUAAGGAUCGGCUAACUCCGUGCCAGCAGCCGCGGUAAUACGGAGGAUCCAAGCGUUAUCCGGAUUCAUUGGGUUUAAAGGGUGCGUAGGCGGAUUUGUAAGUCAGUGGUGAAAGCCUGCAGCUCAACUGCAGAACUGCCAUUGAUACUGCAAGUCUUGAGUACACUUGACGUGGGCGGAAUGUGUCAUGUAGCGGUGAAAUGCUUAGAUAUGACACAGAACACCGACUGCGAAGGCAGCUCACGAAAUUGUAACUGACGCUGAGGCACGACAGCGUGGGGAUCAAACAGGAUUAGAUACCCUGGUAGUCCACGCCGUAAACUAUGAAUACUCGAUGUUGGCGAUAUACUGUCA
rnacentral:rRNA from 1 species